rnacentral:lncRNA from 10 species
AUUGUUGGUUGUCUCUUGUUUUUGCUCAAAGCCUAUCUCAAACUUCUUCCCUAUCUUUCCUUUUAAGUUCUCACAGUGUCUUAUCUAAAAUAAAAUGGGCUCUUCUGGGUUUGUGAAAUAAUACAUGGGGGUUGGUUCAAAUAUUUUUUUUUUCUUAAUGGAAGGAAUAAUCGUGGGAUUCAACUCAUUGCCAGGGAUUAUGCUAGAAACCUAUUACAUUGUAGGGGUCUCACUUUAUCAUCAUGAUAAUGCUGAAAGAAUUUUACCUCAGUGGAGAAACUGAGGUUCAGAGAAGUUAUUUAACUUCAUUAAUAUCACACAAAUAGUGAACAGUGGAGAUGGAAUUAAAAACAUUUCAGGGCUUAAUCCAAAUUCCACACAUUGCAUUACCCUGCCUUUUUUUUUCUUUUUUAAAUACCUCCAGGAAUUUUGUUUCCUAGUCACAACUCUGAGUUUUUCCACAGUGGAGAAUAUAGUCAGGGAAGAAGUUACAGUGGUAAACAGGAAGGAAGUACAGAGCACCCCCGUCUCUCCAUAGGCUGGGAAGACAUAUUGGUGGGUCAGAAAUUAAACAAUAUCUGCUCCUCAUCAAAGAGAAGAGCUUUAGGAUUGAAUUAGAGAAAGCAGCCUGUAGACUUUCCUUUUAGAGUUGUAAAAUUGAAUGUUCUUUAUCUUAAAAAUAAAAAAUCCAUUCAAUUACAGCACAGAAGGUAAAAUUUCUUUCCAAGUGUACCCAGAGAUUAUUGAAAGAGGAGAAUCCUCUUAAAAUCAUCACACUUUGGCAUUUUGAACAAGCACCCUUGUUCACCAUAGGCAUGGUGCCCCAGGACUUCCUUUGGGAACAUGAAGAGUCUCCCUUGAGUUUCAAGUUUGCUGCUGCCAAAUCCGGGUCCCUCCUACCCAGAAAGGACCUCUCCCAGUUGGGAUCGGUGUGGAUGCUUCUUUGCCAAGAAUUGCCAAGAGAUUCGAAUAGUUCCAGAAUGUGGAAUAAUUGCAAAUUAAUUGCAUUUAAUUACACAAGGCUAGAUCAUCAAAUAUCUUCUAGGUAGUUUGUGCUUUCUUUUGGGUAUCGAUGUAUAAUUUAAAGCAUAAAUAAUGCAAAUUUCCCUUUUGGAAAUAUUAACUAGUGCAGUGUUCUACCUAAUGGAGGUUAUUAUUUUAAUGUUUGUGAAAUUAAGUUUUCCUAUCUAAAUUGAAGUUGUAGGUAGCCAAAUAAUCAUUCUUGCAGUAGUAGAAGGUAUUUUUCCCUGAGGAAUAUGAACAAACAAUGAGUACAGCUACAAGUUCUAAAAUGUUCAGCAUUAUAUAUAUAUUAUAUAACAUAUAUAUGUUUAUAUGUUAUAUAUAUGUAUAUAUAUAAAUAUGUUUAUAUAUAUAAAGCAAUACUUCUUCCUCCCACUGGAGAAGGGAACUAAACAAAAUAAUUGUCUAGACUUAAACCUCCUUUUCUCCAAGUCAUUUUGAUGUUUACUCUGUUUACAGACCAGUGCUUGAGAAGUGCCCUUCUCUAUCAGGCUAGCCCAGGCUCAGUAUGACUUACAAACAGUAUAAUUUGGGGUUUGCCAAAUCCCCAAAUCUAUAAAGAGGAUGGAUCAGCUGAAUAAAUAGUAUGGUUUAAUGGAAGACUACGGGUUCUGUACCUCACUUGCCAAUAUUUGUUGAGGGGCCCUGGGCGGAAACCAGCAUCUCCCUAAAUCUCACAUUAUCCUUUUAUAAAAUUAGGGGAUUGAUCUACUUAAUUUCUUUUUUUUUCUUUUCUUUUUUUCUUUUUCUUUUUCUUUUUUUUUUUGAGAUGGAGUCUCGCACUGUUGGCUGGAUCUCGGCUCACUGCAAGCUCGGCCUUCCGGGUUUAUGCCAUUCUCCUGCCUCAGCCUCCUGAGUAGCUGGGACUACAGGCGCCCACCACCACACCUGGCUAAUUUUUUGUAUUUUUAGCAGAGAAGGGGUUUCACUGCAUUAGCCAGGAUGAUCUCGAUCUCCUGACCUCAAGUGAUCCGCCCGCCUCGGCCUCCCAAAGUGCUGGGAUUACAGGCGUGAGCCACCGCGCCCGGCCAAUUUCUAAGGCUCCAUUAGGGCUAAGGUUCAUGUAUCCAUGGUGAAGUAUAGAAGAACUCAGAAUCGUUCCAAACAUAAUGGGCUUGGAGUAAUGGAGAACUCCAAGGGCAGGAGGUAACCAUUAAAGAGGACCAUCAUGUAGUGUGAGGAGUCAACAUUUCACACUAGAAAGCCCUUGGUUCAAGUUUUGUCUCUGCCACCUACAGAUUUUGUAACCCUGAGGAAACUAGCUACCUCUUUAUGUACUGCCCUAUGGAGAGGCACACAUGUCAAGAAACUGAGGGAGUGCCUUCCAGUCAACAGCCAGCCAGGAACUAAGGUGCUCAGUACAGCAGCCUCCACAAAGGACUGAACAAUGCCAACAGCUAUUUGACUGUGCUUGGAAGAUCUCCGUUUAGUUAACCCUUCAGAUGAGACCGCAGCCCUGGCCAGCAAACAAAUUGCAGCCUAUGGAAAGACCUUAAGGCAGAAGCACCCAACUGAACCACCCGAGGGCUCUGACUUACAGAAACUGUGAGCAUAUAGUGAAAUGGCCUCUACCUUAUUUUGAAUGGAUUUCUGGGAUAAAGUUCUUCAGUGAUAACAUGUUUGAAGUUUCAGGAAAGAGGCACUGGCCUUUACUUCUCCACCUCGAUUCACUUCCAUGCUGUUGACAAAUGUUAUAGUUGCCCAGGAUCAGAGGGAGAGACUGACCCUGUGACCAUUUCCCCAAAGGCGGCCUUUGGCCACUCCGUGCACUGGAGCACAUGACCCUCUGCCUCGCCCCUGCCACAUUAACCAGGCGGCUAUCUUAUGUGCCCAUGUUACAUGCUCAUGAUAAAGCUGCAUUUCCUGAGGGGACACCAAUGGAUACACCUCUGCCUGGCACGCAGCUUAGAGGCUAAAUGUAUGAAAAGCAACACCAUGCAAAUCAUUUUGAAACUGCUGUGGAACUCUCACGGGACCCUCCAUUCUAGACAUCCAGUCCCACUAGUGAUCUGACCAUGAAACCUACUAAGAGACUUCCAGAAGAAGAUGACCUCUGAAAGGAGAAAACUUUCUUCCAAGCUUCUGUGGAACAAGAAGAUGCCAUCCCUUUGGUGGAGCCCAAAGGGAAACCAGGUAGUUAGCAAGAGAAACUGUUGUUAUCAUCUAUGAAAGGUGCUUCCUGGGGUUUCAGAGGAGGGUGCAGAAGGGGAACAGUGAGUCUGGAGGGACAGAUGGAACAUUCCUGCAAUGCUAUCAAUCCAUAUCUGACCCUCAAUUCAUGAAACUUUCCAGACAACCCACCCUGACAGAUCCCUCUCUUCUUAGAGCUCUCACGUACCUUUCUUUUAGCAUUUAACAUUCAUAACCUCAAAUGAAUGAUUUCUAUGCAUGAGUCAUUUCCUGAGUAGACUGUCAGAUCCUUGAAGGCAGGAAGGCAAUGUAAUAUAAUGGAGAAUAUCCUAUGUCUUCAAAUAGUUAUGAAGAUUAGAAAGGCAAUCUAAGCAACAUCCUUAGCAUAUUACUAGGUGCACAUAAAAAGUGAUGAAUAGACAGAUUUAUGACUAUUCAUUUUUUUUAUCCUUCCUAUCCUUCACCAUGUGGAAGAUACACUGCCAUUACACACACCUCCAAAAAGAAAACUCAGCAUUUCUUAUGUAUCUUCUCUGGGUGAUUUACUAUGUAGAAGUUCAAGUAUGUUAUUAGAAUGCUUCCCCAAUUUAGUUACACACAGAUUCCAC